rnacentral:rRNA from 1 species
AUUGAACGCUGGCGGCAGGCUUAACACAUGCAAGUCGAGCGGAGAUGAGGUGCUUGCACCUUAUCUUAGCGGCGGACGGGUGAGUAAUGCUUAGGAAUCUGCCUAUUAGUGGGGGACAACAUUCCGAAAGGAAUGCUAAUACCGCAUACGCCCUACGGGGGAAAGCAGGGGAUCUUCGGACCUUGCGCUAAUAGAUGAGCCUAAGUCGGAUUAGCUAGUUGGUGGGGUAAAGGCCUACCAAGGCGACGAUCUGUAGCGGGUCUGAGAGGAUGAUCCGCCACACUGGGACUGAGCCACGGGCCGGACUCCUACGGGAGGCAGCAGUGGGGAAUAUUGGACAAUGGGCGGAAGCCUGAUCCAGCCAUGCCGCGUGUGUGAAGAAGGCCUUUUGGUUGUAAAGCACUUUAAGCGAGGAGGAGGCUACCUGGAUUAAUACUCUAGGAUAGUGGACGUUACUCACAGAAUAAGCACCGGCUAACUCUGUGCCAGCCGCCGCGGUAAAAC